rnacentral:lncRNA from 1 species
UUAAAACUUGAUUCAUUUUAAGAUGGAAUUUUAAGCUCAACAAAGCUGAAACAAGAUAUCUUAUGUACCUACAUUUCAUCAGUUCCGGAAAACUCUGAAAACAAAGCCAAAUAUUAUAUUAGCCCUCACCGCAAUACUGUACAAUUUGCAAGAACUCCUGGGUAAGGUUAUGAAGACUGUCGAAAUCAUGGUAUUGGAUGAGAUACCUUCUUAUGUUGAUAUUUUCCUACUUUUAAUUUGGGA